rnacentral:lncRNA from 1 species
AGACAGGUGCGGUGCCAAGGAGCUAAAUUCAUGGCCCUGAAGAUGUCUUCUUGCCCAGCAAGUCUCAGCAGAGAUUGGGGUGAACCCAGCUGAUGCUUUCAAGCACCAAAAACAUUACAUUUUGCUUCGUGGACUUGUACUUCACUCUUCAUUCUCCUUCUGAUGCACAGAGAAACAAGGACUAACAGAUCCUUCUCUUUCCACCCGGAGUACGAAGAGUCCUACAACAAGGAGGAUGAACAAGGGCACCCAGGGCUCUACCCUGCUCCCCUGACCACACACCACUGAGCUGGAAGAGCAACAAAGCUACUGUCAACCUCUCUCUCAGCACCUAGUCACACUGAGAAGCCAAAACAGACAGGAACAACUGAGGCAGGUUCCUCCUUCCCUCCCUCCCUCCCUCCUCCCAUCAUCUUUCCUUUAACUUUUGUGAUUCCCUAACCAGUACUCCAAACACAGCACACAGAGAAGAUGGCAUUUGGGUAUGGGAAGAACAAAUGUAUUUGGAAAGAAUACUAUUGUUGCUUAUAAGAAAGAGAAUAGUGACUAUCUUUGGAGGAUG